UGGGGAAUCUUCCGCAAUGGGCGAAAGCCUGACGGAGCAACGCCGCGUGAAUGAAGAAGGCCUUCGGGUCGUAAAGUUCUGUCUUUAGGGAAGAAGUCUCUUUAUGUGAAUAAUGUAGAGAGGUGACGGUACCUGAGGAGGAAGCUCCGGCUAACUACGUGCCAGCAGCCGCGGUAAUACGUAGGGAGCAAGCGUUGUCCGGAAUUACUGGGCGUAAAGGGCGCGUAGGCGGGAUAUUAAGUUAGGUGUGAAAACUCCGGGCUCAACUUGGAGACUGCACUUAAAACUGGUAUUCUUGAGGACAGGAGAGGAAAGUGGAAUUCCUAGUGUAGCGGUGAAAUGCGUAGAUAUUAGGAGGAACACCAGUGGCGAAGGCGACUUUCUGGACUGUAACUGACGCUGAGGCGCGAAAGCGUGGGGAGUGAACG
rnacentral:rRNA from 1 species